GGUUAUAUUGAAUACAUACAGGGGUUAUACUUAAUACAUCCAGUGGUUAUAUUCAAUACAUCCAGGGUUUAUAUUUAAUAAUAUACAGGGGUUAUAUUGAAUACAUACAGGGGUUAUACUUAAUACAUCCAGUGGUUAUAUUCAAUACAUCCAGGGUUUAUAUUUAAUAAUAUACAGAGGUUAUAUUGAAUACAUACAGGGGUUAUACUUAAUACAUCCAGUGGUUAUAUUCAAUACAUCCAGGGUUUAUAUUUAAUAAUAUACAGGGUUAUAUUUAAUACAUCCAGGGUUAUGUUUAAUAUAUACAGGGGUUAUAUUGAAUACAUACAGGGGUUAUACUUAAUACAUCCAGUGGUUAUAUUCAAUACAUCAGGGUUUAUAUUUAAUAAUAUACAGGGUUAUAUUGAAUACAUACAGGGUUAUACUUAAUACAUCCAGUGGUUAUAUUCAAUACAUCCAGGGUUUAUAUUUAAUAAUAUACAGAGGUUAUAUUGAAUACAUACAGGGGUUAUACUUAAUACAUCCAGUGGUUAUAUUCAAUACAUCCAGGGUUUAUAUUUAAUAAUAUACAGGGGUUAUAUUUAAUACAUCCAGGGGUUAUGUUUAAUAUAUACAGGGGUUAUAUUUACUACAUACAGGGGUUAUAUUUAAUGAUAUACAGGGGUUAUAUUUAAUACAUCCAGGGUGUUAUUUAAUACAUACAGGGGUGUUAUUUAAUACAUACAGGGGUUAUAUUUAGCACAUACAGGGGUUAUAUGUAAUACAUACAGUUUUGUAUUUGAUACAUGCAGGAGUUAUAUUGGAUACAUUAUGUUAAAUAUGUACAAAGGUUGUAUUUAAUGCAUACAGGGUUUAUACUUGACACAAACAGGGUUUAUACUUAUCCUGUUAUGUUGGAACAUGAUGUAUUUACAAACCCACAAAGUACGUAUGUAUAGUGUACACUGUUAAACUGUAGAAGUGAAGUGUUUGCAUAUAUCCUCAUGGACAUUGUUAUGCAGAAUGAUAUAUUUAUGCCAAAAUAUGAUAGCAGCAUUUCCAAUAAUAUUUUGUUUCGUCAAUCAUAUUUUAAUUAUUUUUACAAGUUAAAUGUGAUGCACCCGACAGGCAAACUGCAAUCUCAUUAAAGACAGUUUACUGUAGCAUGUGACUCAUUAAAAUUGGUUUUAAGCACUUGUUGGUUUUAAUGAGUAUGAGCGAACUGUCAGUUGGAUGGACAAGUGAAAUGUAAUUUUCACUAGCACUCCCAUAUUUGGGUGUGUAGAAUGUCACAUGACCAGUCAGAGUUAGAGCAUAUUUAUCAGUUACAGAAUAUCUAAAUUUUAAUGUAGAUUUGACACAAUAAAUACAGGUAUCACCCACCUUUAAGCCAUAUAUAUAUAUAUAUAGAGAGAAUCGAGAGAGAGAGAGAGAUAGAUAUAUAUAUAUAGAG